GCCAGCAUAGCUUCAAUUGGCAGAGCACCGCUUUCGUAAAGCGGGGGUUGUGGGUUCGACUCCCACUGCUGGCU
rnacentral:tRNA from 1 species